GCCCUCCAGAUUUCUUACUCCGCUGAUCUAAAUAUUGGCCUGAGUGGCUAAAAAAAGAAGAAAACUAAAAUGGAAGUGGACUUGUAGUUCACUGACAUACAAUGACAUGCAAGUUCAUUUCAAGCAUAU
rnacentral:snoRNA from 1 species